rnacentral:rRNA from 1 species
CCUACGGGGGACAGCAGUGGGGAAUAUUGGGCAAUGGAGGCAACUCUGACCCAGCAACGCCGCGUGAAUGAUGAAGGUCCUCGGAUUGUAAAGUUCUGUGAUGGGGGAUGAACACAAUGACGGUACCCCAAUAGCAAGUCACGGCUAACUAUGUGCCAGCAGCCGCGGUAAUACGUAGGUGGCAAGCGUUAUGCGGAAUGACUGGGCGUAAAGGGUGCGUAGGUGGUUUAGUAAGUUGGCGGUGUAAUUCCGUGGCUCAACCACGGCACUACCGCCAAAACUAUUAGACUAGAGUGCAGGAGAGGUAAGUGGAAUUCGUGGUGUAGCGGUGGAAUGCGUAGAUAUUAGGAAGAACAUC